GUGGGGAAUUUUGGACAAUGGGGGCAACCCUGAUCCAGCCAUCCCGCGUGUGCGAUGAAGGCCUUCGGGUUGUAAAGCACUUUUGGCAGGGAAGAAACAGCCUGGGCUAAUAUCCCGGGCGACUGACGGUACCUGCAGAAUAAGCACCGGCUAACUACGUGCCAGCAGCCGCGGUAAUACGUAGGGUGCGAGCGUUAAUCGGAAUUACUGGGCGUAAAGCGUGCGCAGGCGGUUUUGUAAGACAGAGGUGAAAUCCCCGGGCUCAACCUGGGAACUGCCUUUGUGACUGCAAGUCUGGAGUGCGGCAGAGGGGGAUGGAAUUCCGCGUGUAGAAGUGAAAUGCGUAGAUAUGCGGAGGAACACCGAUGGCGAAGGCAAUCCCCUGGGCCUGCACUGACGCUCAUGCACGAAAGCGUGGGG
rnacentral:rRNA from 1 species